UUCUUGACAAAUGAUUGAUGUGAGAAGACACAGCUCACUGUGGGUCAUGGCACUCCUGACAAGCUGAAUUAUACAAGAACAGACUGAGAAAGCCAUGGAGAGCGAGCCCAUAAGCAGCGCUCCUCCGUACUUCCGCUUUACUUCCUACUUCCAGGUUCCUGCCUUGAGUUCCUGCCCUCACUCCUCUCAGUGAUGGGUUGUGACUCUUUUCCUGAUUUCUUUCUCCAUAUUUCCUUUUAAAUUCAACAAAUACUUAGCUUGUCCUUAUUCUUGCUGUGACACAAAUUGUAUAGAAUGUAAGAAUAUUCAAGUCCCAGAAGCGAUGUUCUGUUGAGAUGCUAACGGAGGCUCCUUUCUUCCUGCCCUUCUUUGUCAUGUCAGUUCCAUGUGAGGUUUUGGAAGAAUCAGUUUCUAAUGGACUGAAUUAGGGUUGUAUGUGAAGCCGCCUUAUACUGUACAGCGCUACAGAUGUUAUACAGAGAUGAAGUGCCAGAGACAUUGGAGGAGAGACACAAUGGAUUCUACAGUGGGAAGCAGAGGAUCACAGCGAAACCUGAGACCAGAAGGCCUAAAAGUCUAGCUUCUUCAAGUUACUGAGUGAAUACUGUGCUGACCACUCUGGAGGAUCUUUGUUUUCCCUACUGUUUGCACUUUGAAGAAACAAACUUGAAAGAUGUUUGGAAAGACAAAGAAGCGAUCAGAAGAAGAAAGAGUCAAAUCUCUUAAGAUUAACAGACAAAGUCCGUUUGUCCACUCAAUUUUAACAACAAACAUUCUAAAGACUUAGAGAAGAUGAACAUGAAUAAGUCACAUGUCUUAGGAACUCUGCUGUACUUAAGUGGAGACAGUCUUCUGCUUGAAAGAGGAGUAAACUUUGUUACAAAGAAUGCUGAAGAGAAAGAGAGUGACAUAUUAUUACUUCUGACAUGAACAAGAGGAUUAAAAAAAAUAAAAGUAAUAUAAAAACCAGA